rnacentral:lncRNA from 1 species
GCCCAUUUUUCUUUGACAUGUUCAGAUGUUGGCAAGGCUGAAAACUGCAGGGGAUCUGGUUGUGAUAAUCCAGGAUUGAAAAUCUCCAACUGAAGGGCUUGGAGCAAGUUAACCCCGAGUCUUCACGGGAAAAAGAUAUCUACCUCCUAAUCCUGGAACUUGGGAAUGUUACUUCAUAGAGCAAAGACUUUGCAGAGCUGAGUUAAGGUCUUUGAGAUGAGAUUAUUUUGAGUUAUCUUGGGGUUGUUUGUGGUUUGCUAAAUGCAAUCAGAAGUGUCCUCAGGGGGAGGCAGAGGAGAUUUGAGACACAGAAAAGGAGAAGACCACAC